rnacentral:rRNA from 55 species
UUAAAUUGAAGAGUUUGAUCAUGGCUCAGAUUGAACGCUGGCGGCAGGCCUAACACAUGC